AGUGAACGCUGGCGGUAGGCCUAACACAUGCAAGUCGAACGGCAGCACAGUAAGAGCUUGCUCUUACGGGUGGCGAGUGGCGGACGGGUGAGGAAUACAUCGGAAUCUACUUUUUCGUGGGGGAUAACGUAGGGAAACUUACGCUAAUACCGCAUACGACCUACGGGUGAAAGCAGGGGAUCUUCGGCCCUUGCGCGAUUGAAUGAGCCGAUGUCGGAUUAGCUAGUUGGCGGGGUAAAGGCCCACCAAGGCGACGAUCCGUAGCUGGUCUGAGAGGAUGAUCAGCCACACUGGAACUGAGACACGGUCCAGACUCCUACGGGAGGCAGCAGUGGGGAAUAUUGGACAAUGGGCGAAAGCCUGAUCCAGCCAUACCGCGUGGGUGAAGAAGGCCUUCGGGUUGUAAAGCCCUUUUGUUGGGAAAGAAAAGCAGUAGGUUAAUACCCCGCUGUUCUGACGGUACCCAAAGAAUAAGCACCGGCUAACUUCGUG
rnacentral:rRNA from 1 species